rnacentral:rRNA from 1 species
UACGUAGGGUGCGAGCGUUGUCCGGAAUUAUUGGGCGUAAAGGGCUCGUAGGCGGUUUGUCGCGUCGGGAGUGAAAUCCACUGGCUUAACUGGUGGCUUGCUUUCGAUACGGGCAGACUGGAGGUAUGCAGGGGAGAACGGAAUUCCUGGUGUAGCGGUGAAAUGCGCAGAUAUCAGGAGGAACACCAAUGGCGAAGGCAGAUCUCUGGGCCGUAACUGACGCUGAGGAGCGAAAGCAUGGGGAGCGAACAGG